GAUGGGAGGGAAGCAAUGCGAUUGAAAACUUUGUGGCCAAGCUUUGUAUGCCAAGACUACCUUCUGUCCGUUCCCUUUUGAAGACGUUGCCAUAUAAUCAAGUAACGCUGGCAAGGAAUUUGGAUAAUAAGCUAGCCGGCACAUAGAACAAAGCCUCUACCAGCAUUCCUGAGCAACAACACAGGUCACAAUAAUAUGCUGAAGAUCUUCAAUUUGCUUAGGACAUAGAUCACAAUGUUGCUCUGAUACCACUAGUCCACAACGAGCUAAAUAAGCUUUACAGGACAUCCGAUUUCAUAAAAGCUGCCACCAAAAUAAUUUGACUAGAGGCAAAACUUGUAACUUUCAAAUCCAGGAAAAGGUUAAAGAUGCAGUAGAAUGAGAAUGAUAGGAAAGCUGGGCCAUAUCAUGCAAAGUCACAGCACGCAAUUUUGGGUUGCCCCAAACAAGAGCUCAUGUGCAAGAGGAAUAGCACAAAUUUGUGUCAUCGUAUCAGCUGAAAACAAGGAAGCAAGAAGUGGCACAUUCCAUGUCCAAGAGGGAGUAAUAAGGUCAGCAACCUGCAUAUCAGGACUUUGGGAAUUCAUAUUAAGAUAAGUAGGUGAUGCUAUCAAUGGAACAGUAGAAAGCCAAGGGUGUGUAUAGACAUUAACAUGGGAUGCUAAACCAAGCAUUCAUUGGAAUAAUACGGGCUGGGUUCGGGCCGGCUUCAGGCCAAAAAUAUG
rnacentral:lncRNA from 1 species